rnacentral:lncRNA from 1 species
GGGCUUAUUUCAUACACGGUUAGUAGUGGAGUUACGUCCCUUUAUAUUCCAUAAAAGGUAAUAAGGAGGCGGGGCUUAUUUCAUACACGGUUAGUAAUGGUGUUACGUCCCUUUAGAAAAACAAAACAGUACUGAGAAAAAAUCUUAAAGGUUUCAACAGUCGAAGAAAGUGAUGAUAAAGUGAAAUAAAUUCAUAAAACACAUUUAAAUCUAACAAGUUGUCAUUGUUGGCAUCUGUUUUU